GAUAAGACAUGCAAGUCGAGCGCGCAUUUCGGUGUAGCAAUACAUCGGAGUUUGAGCGGCGCAAGAGUGCGUAACACGUGGGUAAUUUGCCGUGAAGUUGGGGAUAACUCGCUGAAAGGCGAGCUAAUACCGAAUGUGGAAUGGAGGUGGCAUCACUUUUUUUCUAAAGCUGAGGAUCGUAAGACCUGGCGCUUCAUGAUAAGCCCGCGGCCUAUCAGCUAGUUGGUGCGGUAACGGCGCACCAAGGCUAAGACGAGUAGCUGGUCUGAGAGGCCGACCAGCCACACUGGAACUGAGACACGGUCCAGACACCUACGGGUGGCAGCAGUCGAGAAUUUUUCUCAAUGGGCGCAGGCCUGAAGGAGCGACGCCGCGUGUGGGAUGAAGGGUUUCGAUCCGUAGACCACUGUCAUUUGUGAACAAUGGUCAUUAUUUAAAAGAUGGUGACUUGAUAGUAAUGAAAGAAGAAGGGACGGCUAACUCUGUGCCAGCAGCCGCGGUAAUACAGAGGUCCCGAGCGUUGUUCGGAUUCACUGCGCGUAAAGGGUGCGUAGGUGGCAUGGUAAGUUUGAUGUGAGAGCUCAGGGCUCAACCCUGAAAUGGCAUUGAAUACUACUGUGCUGGGAGGUUUGGAGGGGGGACUAGAAUUCUUGGUGUAGCAGUGAAAUGCGUAGAUAUCAAGACGAACACCAGUGGCGAAGGCGAGUCCCUGGACAACACCUGACACUGAGGCACGAAAGCUAGAGGAGCAAACAGGAUUAGAUACCCUGGUAGUCCUAGCCCUAGACGGUGCGCAUUUG
rnacentral:rRNA from 1 species